UGGGGAAUCUUGCGCAAUGGCCGAAAGGCUGACGCAGCGACGCCGCGUGGAGGAGGAAGCCCUUCGGGGUGUAAACUCCUGUCACCUGGGACGAACCUCGGGUUUCGACCCGACUGACGGUACCGGGUGAGGAAGCACCGGCUAACUCUGUGCCAGCAGCCGCGGUAAUACAGAGGGUGCGAGCGUUGUCCGGAAUCACUGGGCGUAAAGGGCGCGUAGGUGGCUCGCAACGCGUGCGGUGAAAGCCCGGGGCUCAACCCCGGGUCGGCCGUGCGAACGGGCGGGCUUGAGUCCGGUAGAGGCCGAUGGAAUUCCGGGUGUAGCGGUGGAAUGCGUAGAGAUCCGGAAGAACACCGGUGGCGAAGGCGGUCGGCUGGGCCGGAACUGACACUGAGGCGCGACAGCGUGGGGAGCAAACAGG
rnacentral:rRNA from 1 species